rnacentral:rRNA from 1 species
AUUGAACGCUGGCGGCAGGCCUAACACAUGCAAGUCGAGCGGAGCGGCGGACGGGUGAUUAAUGCCUAGGAAUCUGCCUGGUAGUGGGGGAUAACGUCCGGAAACGGGCGCUAAUACCGCAUACUAUCAGAUGAGCCUAGGUAGGAUGAGCUAGUUGGUGGGGUAAAGGCCUACCAAGGGGAAGAUCCGUAACUGGUCUGCUAGGAUGAUCAGUCACACUGGAACUGAUACACGGUCCAGACUCCUACGGGAGGCAGCGGUGGGGAAUAGUGGAGAAUGGGCGAAAGCCUGAUCCAGCCAUGCCGCGUGUGUGAAGAAGGUCUUCGGAUUGUAAAGCACUGGAAGUUGGGAGGCGUUACCAACAGAAUAAGCCCCGGCUAACGUCGUGCCAGCAGCCGCGGUAAUUC